UACGGAGGAUGCAAGCGUUAUCCGGAAUUAUUGGGCGUAAAGCGUCCGUAGGUGGUGGUUCAAGUCUGCUGUCAAAAACUGGGGCUUAACCCCAGGAAGGCGGUGGAAACUGAACUGCUAGAGUGUGGUAGGGGCAGAGGGAAUUCUUGGUGUAGCGGUGAAAUGCGUAGAUAUCAAGAGGAACACCUGAGGUGAAGACGGGUUGCUGGGCUGACACUGACGCUGAGGCGCGAAAGCCAGGGGAGCAAACGGG
rnacentral:rRNA from 1 species